rnacentral:rRNA from 1 species
AAAAUGACUCUCGGCAACGGAUAUCUCGGCUCUCGCAUCGAUGAAGAACGCAGCGAAAUGCGAUACUUGGUGUGAAUUGCAGAAUCCCGUGAACCAUCGAGUUUUUGAACGCAAGUUGCGCCCAAAGCCUUCUGGUCGAGGGCACGUCUGCCUGGGUGUCACGC